rnacentral:rRNA from 1 species
GAUGAACGCUGGCGGCGUGCCUAAUACAUGCAAGUCGAGCGAACGGACGAGAAGCUUGCUUCUCUGAUGUUAGCGGCGGACGGGUGAGUAACACGUGGAUAACCUACCUAAAAGACUGGGAUAACUUCGGGAAACCGGAGCUAAUACCGGAUAAUAUUUUGAACCGCAUGGUUCAAAAGUGAAAGACGGUCUUGCUGUCACUUAUAGAUGGAUCCGCGCUGCAUUAGCUAGUUGGUAAGGUAACGGCUUACCAAGGCAACGAUGCAUAGCCGACCUGAGAGGGUGAUCGGCCACACUGGAACUGGGACACGGUCCAGACUCCUACGGGAGGCAGCAGUAGGGAAUCGUCCGCAAUGGGCGGAAGCCUGACGGAGCAACGCCGCGUGAGUGAUGAAGGUCUUCGGAUCGUAAAACUCUGUUAUUAGGGAAGAACAUAUGUGUAAGUAACUGUGCACAUCGUGACGGUACCUAAUCAGAAAGCCACGGCUAACUACGUG